rnacentral:lncRNA from 1 species
AUGCUGUUCAAAGGUUUACACAAAGAGAAGACGAGGCUUCAUGUAAGAUCAGGCUCACAUGUGUCUGUGAAGAGUGACUGGUCAAAGGAUUUAGAACCACCAUGCUUCAGUGAGAAAAAAACAUCUAUCAAAAGUGUAAGAUCAGGCUCACAUGUGUCCAGCUCUGUGUCUGUGAAGAGUGACGAGUCAAAGGAUGAAGGACCAGUCUUCAGUGAAGAAACAGCAUCACGAACCAAAUGGUAUUUGAUGUGUUUCUUAUUUUUCUUUAAACAUAGACCAUGUCAGAAAGUGUAUCAGUGAAUAAUUAUCAUAAAACUACUUGUUGUCAUGGCUCGAAAAAACAAUCAAGGAUCCAAUAGCAAGUGCCAGUAAUGUUUAUUAACAUCCAAGAACAGAGAUAGUGUCGGUCCAAAGGCAGCAGACAAAGUCAAUACUUGGCUCGGCAACGCAGGACUCAGGGGCAGACAGCUAGCAGGAAACCAGAACACGAUCCUCCUAACCAGGCAGACCUCCAACCGGACACCGGAACUGGAGCAAGGGGAAAAGACGGCCAGUGCUGACCCGGGAACUCCACAACCAUCUGACAAAGACAAGACGGAGUGACAAACAAUAUAUAGGACAUUCUCAUUCAACACAGCUGGCGCUGAUCAGCUCAUCAGCGGAACACGAGCCGCGCUGAUGAGCCGCACCCAUUCAACCCACGUGCACCCACAUAGCGAGGGCGAGUCAAUGAAUCCAUGAACCGUGACAGUACCCCUCCCUCCUAGGAACGCCGCCUGGCGUUCCCUGCCACCCUUACCUGUCGAUUGUAAUCAUCGAUAAGGGAGUGAUCCAGGAUGUCCCUAGAAGGAACCCAACUCCUCUCCUCCGGACCGUAACCUUCCCAGUCCACCAGGUACUGGAAUCCGCGUCCCCUCCGUCUGGGGGGGGAACCGGGGCAGGCGGAUUAAGGUGAGAAUGAAAAAUACAGGCUUUAUUUUGACACAUGAAAACGGGAUGAACUCUCCUGUACGCUGGAGGAAGGUUGAGGCGGACUGCCACCGGACUAAUAAUCUUGGUGACAGUAAACGGGCCAAUGAAUUUGGGAGCAAGUUUAUUAGAAACGGAGCGGAGAGGAAUGUUCUUGGUUGAAAGCCACACUUUUUGACCAGCGACGUAUGCGGGAGGCUUAGACCGGUGGCGAUCGGCUUUAGCCUUGGUGCGCGCCCCCACUUGGAGUAGAGUCUCACGGGCUCUAGUCCAUGUGCGGUGACACCUCUGGACGAAGGCGUGGGCGGAGGGGACCGCGACUUCGGAUUCCAGACUAGGAAAAAUUGGUGGCUGGUAACCUAAACUACAUUCAAACGGAGAAAGGCCCGUGGACGACACUGGUAAUGUAUUGUGAGCGUACUCCACCAUUGAAAGUUGUUGACUCCAUGAGGAAGGAUUCCUGGAGACCAGACAUCGCAACACCCUCUCCAAAUCUUGGUUGGCUCUCUCGGUUUGGCCAUUACUCUGGGGGUGAAACCCUGAGGACAGACUGACAGUCGCUCCCAGUAAUUUACAAAACUCUCGCCAAAACAUAACAUCCACCAAUCACCUAUACACCCUAGCAACCACCCAAAAGACACAAGAAACCACCUGUCAAUGCCCAGCCACUAUCAGUAUCUUAAAAACCACCCACAUCACCACAGUAAAUGCCCUAGCAACCAUUUAAACCCUCCUAGCUUUCUCCUGUUGACUUCUCAUAAACCUCCCAGUAAAAUCAUAUACAAUAUAAUGGCUUAACGUGAUUGUAUUCUCCUCUGUUCUAACCUAAUAUUGCUAAAGCUCCACACAU